rnacentral:rRNA from 1 species
CCCGAUGKGACGACGGGUAACGGGGAAUUAGGGUUCGAUUCCGGAGAGGGAGCCUGAGAAACGGCUACCACAUCUAAGGAAGGCAGCAGGCGCGCAAAUUACCCAAUGAAAACAGUUUCGAGGUAGUGACGAGAAAUAACAAUACGGAGCAUUAAAUGUUUUGUAAUUGGAAUGGUGGGAAUCUAAACCCCUUUCAGAGUAACAAUUGGAGGGAAAGUCUGGUGCCAGCAGCCGCGGUAAUUCCAGCUCCAAUAGCGUAUAUUAGAGUUGUUGCAGUUAAAAAGCUCGUAGUUGGAUUUCUGUUGUGGCUUUUGUGUACCGCCGCUUAACCGCGGGUGGUUACUUACAUUAAGCCAGAACAUUUUCCCGACGUAAAUAGGGUGUGCGCAAGCCACCACCGAUUUAUUCGUCGGGGCUUUUACUUUGAGAAAAAUAGAGUGUUUCAAGCAGGCCUGCCGCCUUGAAUACUGCAGCAUGGAAUAAUAAUUUAGGACUUUGGUUCUACUUUGUGGGUUUAGGACUAAAGUAAUGAUUAAUAGGGA